GUAUAUAUUUCACUUUUUUCAUUAUAGACAUUCUAAACUCGUUUGUGAUAGAUGGACAUAGAACCCCAAGAGCAAAAGGCAAAGCUGGCCUUUCAAAGAAAAGCAACAGCAGUCCCUACUCGAAUGAGAACAUUCAUACAAAGGCUCGAGGGAUCUACAUGAGGUGCACAAGUUGGAAAAAUAAUAAAAAUGAGACAAGCGUGCACACACUCCAGAGGGGCCAGCAACAGCCUGUUCAAGUUUAUAAUACGAUAAUGAUCCUUCCGCAGGUUCACCUACGGAAA
rnacentral:misc_RNA from 1 species